GUGAGGAAUAUUGCACAAUGGGCGGAAGCCUGAUGCAGCAACGCCGCGUGAGGGACGAAGGCCUUCGGGUCGUAAACCUCUUUUCUGAGGGACGAGGCAGGACGGUACCUCGGGAAUAAGUCUCGGCUAACUACGUGCCAGCAGCCGCGGUAAAACGUAGGAGGCGAGCGUUAUCCGGAUUUACUGGGCGUAAAGCGCGCGUAGGCGGCUCGACAAGUUGGGCGUUAAAGCUCCUGGCUUAACUGGGAGAGGUCGUUCGAAACUGUUGGGCUUGAGGUUGGGAGAGGGGUGUGGAAUUCCCGGUGUAGUGGUGGAAUGCGUAGAUAUCGGGAGGAACACCAGUGGCGAAGGCGGCACCCUGGCCCACACCUGACGCUGAGGUGCGAAAGCGUGGGUAGCAAACAGGAUUAGAAACCCUGGUAGUCC
rnacentral:rRNA from 1 species